GCGUUAGCCUUGGCAACACGUAUGAAAAAUUGGCAUCGAUACAGAGAAGAUUAGCAUGGCCCCUGCG
rnacentral:snRNA from 1 species